AGCAGCCGCGGUAAUUCCAGCUCCAAUAGCGUAUAUUAAAGUUGUUGCAGUUAAAAAGCUCGUAGUUGAAUUUCGGGAUUAAUAUGCUGGUCGUGCCAUUGGUACGUACUAGUAUUAUUGAUUUCUCCCUUCUGAUGAAUCAUGAUGUCAUUAAUUUGAUGUCAUGGGGAAUCAGGACUGUUACUUUGAAAAAUUAGAGUGUUUAAAGCAGGCUCGCGCUUGAAUACAUUAGCAUGGAAUAAUGAAAUAGGACGUUUGAUUCUAUUUUGUUGGUUUCUAGGAUUGACGUAAUGAUUAAUAGGGAUAGUUGGGGGCAUUAGUAUUCAAUUGUCAGAGGUGAAAUUCUUGGAUUUAUUGAAGACUAACUACUGCGAAAGCAUUUGCCAAGGAUGUUUUCAUUAAUCAAGAACGAAAGUUAGGGGAUCGAAGACGAUCAGAUACCGUCGUAGUCUUAACCAUAAACUAUGCCGACUAGGGAUCGGAUGAUGUUAAUUAUGUA
rnacentral:rRNA from 1 species